CCCGAGCCGCCGUUCGGGCUGCGAGGCUGAGAUUUCUCGUCUGGACAUUGGAAAUAACUUUGGUUUUGGGCUGCUUUCUGUUGACCCGGGGGAAUUAAUGUCUGGUCUUUGAGGCCAGAUGGAAAAUAUGCCUACAUGAGAGAGUCUCUACAAAGCUGAUCCUGUCUUGGCUUUAAGGUAAAUUAAUAUCAUGUAUCGAAUACAUAUUCUAACCUUUUAUCCCACUGUA
rnacentral:lncRNA from 1 species